rnacentral:rRNA from 1 species
UACGUAGGGUGCGAGCGUUAAUCGGAAUUACUGGGCGUAAAGCGUGCGCAGGCGGUGUUGUAAGACCGGUGUGAAAUCCCCGGGCUUAACCUGGGAACUGCAUUUGUGACUGCAUCGCUGGAGUGCGGCAGAGGGGGAUGGAAUUCCGCGUGUAGCAGUGAAAUGCGUAGAUAUGCGGAGGAACACCGAUGGCGAAGGCAAUCCCCUGGGCCUGCACUGACGCUCAUGCACGAAAGCGUGGGGAGCAAACAGG